GAUGAAGAACGCAGCGAAAUGCGAUAAGUAGUGUGAAUUGCAGAAUUCAGUGAAUCAUCGAAUCUUUGAACGCACAUUGCGCCCUUUGGUAUUCCAAAGGGCAUGCCUGUUCGAGCGUCAUUUGUACCCUCAAGCUUUGCUUGGUGUUGGCGUCUUGUCUCUAGCUUUGCUGGAGACUCGCCUUAAAGUAAUUGGCAGCCGGCCUACUGGUUUCGGAGCGCAGCACAAGUCGCACUCUCUAUCAGCAAAGGUCUAGCAUCCAUUAAGCCUUUUUUUCAACUUUUGACCUCGGAUCAGGUAGGGAUACCCGCUGAACUUAAGCAUAUCAAUAAGCGGAGGA
rnacentral:misc_RNA from 1 species